rnacentral:lncRNA from 1 species
AUGCGGAGAACAAUAUUCUCCUGCGUGCACCUAAGGAGAAGCCUGGUAACAAAUCACCUUCAGCACAGAAGAACCACCAAGCAGGAGUGGGUACAAGCUUGCCCUGGGUCUGCUUCCCACGAGGCUUCUUCUUGGGCAGCACAGAUGGUGACACAAGGCUGUGUCCAGCGUCACAUGGACCCAGGCUGCACACCAGCCACUGCUAGUCCUUGACCCUGGAUAGAUGACACCGUUUGGAUCGAUGAUAUAGUUUCCUGUAUCAUGGUUAUAUCAAGUUGUAGCUCUUUGUGAUGAUUAAAACAAGAUAUGGAGAUAUGAAAAUAUUUCCUCCACGGCACCUGACAGAACACAUUUGAUAAUGGGUUGCUAUGGCAUCCCAAAAAGCAUAGGGUUAAAAAUUAAAUUUGAUGUUACUAUAGACUGUAAAAUAAUGCGGUGGGUAAAAAAAUCCCCAUUCACUGUGAAAAACUACAUUUAAACAUUGAGAAAUAAAAAUAAUAUGGGAGGUCUAAGACUUAUAUAUAGGAAACUAGAAAGCCUAGAUAGGAUAAGGGGUGUGAUCAAAAAUCGGUGAAUGUUUACAUUUUUUAAAUUUACAGUAAAAGACAUUUCAUUAAUUCCCCUCACUUUGAACACACUUAUCACAUCAUCCUUGCCACUUCCUGAAGCAGUUCUGCAAAUUCUCUUUCAUGAGUGUCUUUCGUUGCCCUGUCAUGGAUGCCUCAAUGUCCUAAAUUAGUUCAAAACUUUCUUCUUUGUAGUCAUUUUGACUUUGGGGAAAAUCCAGAAGUCACAGGAGACCAGAUCCAGUUGAUAGGUGGAUGAGGACACACUGUAAUGUUUUUAAGAGCCUGCCUUUCCAUUGGAUGAUACUCAUAAGCAGCAGCAUUCACCACAUUUUUGAUCACACCUCAUAAAGACGUCUACUCAUGAAAGAGGACUUCUAGAACUGCUUCCAAAAGUGGCAAGAAUGAUGGGAUAAGUGCAGAUGCAGCAAGCAGGAGUAAUUUGAAGAGAAUUAAUGGCAGUGUGUCUAACUGUAAUAUUAAUAUUAUCAAUAUUAAAUAUUCACCCAAUAUUUUCAUAACCCUCU